AGUUUAAUCUCGAGGGGCCAGGCAGGUGACUGUCUAGGCCCAGUGCGGAGAUUGAGACAGCCCACGGCUUNGGUUACUGUCCCAGUUCAAGUUCAACUUGAUGGUGGCCGCCCUGAGAGGGUGUUAGGCCUGUAAAGCUGGGCAGUAGCCGGCCUGUGUUGUUCUCGCAAGUAGGCUUGCUUGAAAGUGCAGUCCGAAGCUCGAGGUAAACCCCUCGGUAAGCUAAACACAGCUACCAAGCUGAUAGCGGACAAGUACAGUGAUGGAAAUUUGAAAAGAACUUUGAAGAGAGAGUUAAGAGUACGUGAAACCGAUUGACGGGUAACCGAAGUCUUUCUCGAAGUGUCUGCCAAGCACAAUUCAGCCUUGCUACUUGUAGCUGGUGCAGUUUGUGUAGGCAGGCCGUGGUAGGAACUGAUUACUGCCCAGUGCCGAUGCCUGGCUUUUGCUUUCGCUGCAGUUCGCCUGCAGUGUCAGCCCCGGGCAGAGACAUGCUGGCGGUAGUCAGGGAGUAACUUNUUCGGAAGUUCUUCUACCAAGUAGAUCGGUGAAAGCUUCGACCCGUCUUGAAACACGGACUAAGGAGUCUUACAUGUGGGCCAGACAGGAGGCUUUUCGAAGCUUCGGCUGUCAAAGUGAAAGCGGAUAUAUAGUAAAUUGUGUUGGGGGAUAAAGCGAAAGCUUCAAUCCCGUCGUUCGCCAGCGAUAGUAGCUCGCGGUGAACAGAAGGAGUCCAAAUGUAGGGACCCGAAAGAUGGUGAACUAUGCUUGUUCAAGGCGAAGCCAUGGGAAACUUUGGUGGAGGCCUGAA
rnacentral:rRNA from 1 species